rnacentral:rRNA from 1 species
UACGAAGGGGGCUAGCGUUGUUCGGAAUUACUGGGCGUAAAGCGCACGUAGGCGGAUCGAUCAGUCAGGGGUGAAAUCCCAGAGCUCAACUCUGGAACUGCCUUUGAUACUGUCGAUCUGGAGUAUGGAAGAGGUGAGUGGAAUUCCGAGUGUAGAGGUGAAAUUCGUAGAUAUUCGGAGGAACACCAGUGGCGAAGGCGGCUCACUGGCCCGGUACUGACGCUGAGGAGCGAAAGCCAGGGGAGCAAACGGG